AUACGGAGGGGGUUAGCGUUGUUCGGAAUUACUGGGCGUAAAGCGCACGUAGGCGGAUUGGAAAGUUGGGGGUGAAAUCCCAGGGCCCAACCCUGGAACUGCCUCCAAAACUAACAGUCUAGAGUUCGAGAGAGGUGAGUGGAAUUCCAAGUGUAGAGGUGAAAUUCGUAGAUAUUUGGAGGAACACCAGUGGCGAAGGCGGCUCACUGGCUCGAUACUGACGCUGAGGUGCGAAAGCGUGGGGAGCAAACAGGAUUAGAAACCCCUGUAGUCC
rnacentral:rRNA from 1 species